rnacentral:rRNA from 54 species
CGGUGGAUCACUCGGCUCGUGGAUCGAUGAAGGACGCAGCAAACUGCGCGUCGAAUUGUGAACUGCAGGACACAUGAACAUCGACGCUUCGAACGCACAUUGCAGCCCACGGAUUCUGUUCCCGGGCUACGCCUGGCUGAGGGCCGGC